AAUCCAAGACUGCAUGGAUUGUUCCUUCCACUUGGUACGGCGAAUCCUCCCACCAAAAGGGUUCAGUGCUCUUUGGAUGUGGGUGAACACAACUCCCAUAUGCCAAGGUCAAUCACCCCUAAAUCCCGCCUGUAUUCAAUGUUGUCCAUGUAGGUAGUGUGCCAAGUUUGGUGCAGAUCCAUUGUGGGCUGGGUUCAGAGUGCUCUUUGAUUAUAGGCUAACUAUAAAUUCCAGCAACUACAGCUCCCAAAUGACACAAUCAAUCCCCCCAACCCCACCAAUAUUCAAAUUUCGGCAUAUCAGAUAUUUGUGCCAAAUUUGGUCCAUCUCCAUCAUUGUUUGGGUUCACAGUGCUCUCUGGAUGUAAAUGAACUAAACCUCCCCUAAAUCACUGUCAAUUCCUCCCAAGUCCCUUCAAUAUUUUCUGUUGGUCAUGGGGGAAUUGUCUGGGAAGUUCGGUCAAAUUCUAUUGUUUGUGAGGUUCAAGGGGCUCUUUGAUUGUAGGUGAACUAUAAAUCCCAGCAACUACAACUCCCAAAUAUCAAGGCUCAUUUUUCCCCAAACUCCACCAGUGUUCACAUUUGGGCAUAUUGAUUAUUUGUACCAAGUUUGCUCCAGAUCCUUCAUUGUUUGAGUCCACAGUGCUCUCUGGAUGUAGGUGAACUAUAACUCCAAAACUCAAGGUCAAUGCCCACCAAACCAACUUAUAGAAAACAACUUAUAGAAAACGGAAAUAUAUAUACAAAUUGAAGCGUGGUAUAAGGAAGUAUGGAAAUUGGCAAUAAAUGAUAAGCUAACAUGUAAGUUAAAAGAGGGAUAUGGAAACAAAGUGAUUUGGAUGAUGUCUGGGGGAAAUUUAUUGAAAGGGGAUUCAAAACGAAGGAUGGAAAGUUACCUCCACAAGAGGAAAUGAAAUAUUGGUGUAGCAAUAUUUCAUUUCCUUGGUGAGCUGCUGAACUUGCUGACUGAAAGGUUGGCGGUUCAAAUUCAGGAAGCGGCCACUGUUAGACACAGCUUCUGCCAACCUAGCAGCUCGAAAACAUGCAAAGAUGAGUAGAUUAAUAGGUACCACUCCGGUGGGAAAUGAAAUGAGCACCAACCCCUAGAGUCGGACACGACUAGACUUAAUGUCAGGGGAAAACUUUACCUUUAUUAUAUAAAAGAAGAGGUUCCCGGGGAGGGGAGCAUGGGGGUGAGGGAUAGAAGAGUAUGUAUAAGUGUGAAAGCAACUAUGGAUACAAAAAAAACUAUGUGAUGUAUUGUAUAUUGUAUUGAAUAUUAUGUGUCUGCUGUAUAACAAAUGCAUUGAAUGAUUUUAAAAUAAAUAAAAAUAUAUUAAAAAAAUAAUCUAUAGUUUGUACAUAUAGAAAGCAUGGAAAAUCUGGGGUAAUUUGAAAUUUUAACUGGAUGCUUCUGUUUCUCCUCUCUCUGAAAUGUGGAGAGAAAGGGCAGGAGUGCCAAAUUAUCCAGGGCUCCUUUUUUUAGAGAUAUGAAUAUAUGAUAUGAAUCACAAUGAGUGCAUCACGAACUGAUAUGAAUCAUUGUAGGGGGGAAAGGUGAUAAUGCUUGGCAAAGAGGAAGGCAGUUGGAAACAGAGACUGCAUGAGAUGUAGAUUGCUGCGGUCAAGAACGUCACAGUUCUAAGUUUGCAAGACCUAAGUAGGGCUGUUAGUCACAGGGGCUUUUGUAAGGGUCUGAUUCAUCAGGUUGCCAUAAAUCGAACAUGAUAGCAAAUUGCAGCCAUGAAUUAACCCAUUUGUUGACCCUUGCAUUAUAUAAGUGAAUAACAUAAACUGAAGCAAGAUGAAGCUAUUACCUGUACUGUUUGCCAAUGGCAAAGAAUCAGUUUCAUGUGAAGUUGAUUUUGAUUAUUCAGACAGUCCCCAAGUUACAAACAGGAUUUGUUGUGUAGGUUCAUUCUUAAGUUGAAUUUGUAAAUAAAAUAAAUAAAAUAAAAAUCAAACACAUCUUUAAACACAUUUCUUAUCAGUUUUUAACUUUUCCAUUACAACUUAUACUAUAUCUCUCUCUACUACACACCUUUAUCUACUUAUUAUUAUUAUUAUUAUUAUUAUUAUUAUUAUUAUUAUUAUUAUUAUUAUUAUAAUAUACAUUUGAAUGGGGGGUGAAACUUUUUUUUUUUAGCAAAUCAUGAAGAGUAGUUCCAUAAUGCAAAAUAAUUUAGAAAACAGGAUCCAUCGAUAGACUUCAGUGGACACUCAAGACAGAUAAACUUCAAUGGACAAUGGGAUUUUGUUAAUCAGUUAAAAUUCAUGAGUAAGCCAGGUUUUACGAGGGUUGAAUGAAAAGUAAUGCCUCCACCUUCGAAACUCCUCAACAGAUGGCAAAACUGAUAGGCAGCAGGUUCUGGCUUGUUCAGUAGACUCUCCUCUACAGUUCCAUUUGGCAGGAAGCCUUAGCAUUGAAUGGUUGUGUUGAUAAAGUGUGAAGUAUAGAAC
ensembl:lncRNA